GACGAACCGAGCGAACGUUAUUCGGAAUCACUGGGCUUAAAGGGCGCGUAGGCGGGCGGCCAAGUCAGGGGUGAAAGCCCCCAGCUCAACUGGGGAAGUGCCUCUGAUACUGGUCGCCUCGAGGGAGAUAGGGGCGUGCGGAACUUCCGGUGGAGCGGUGAAAUGCGUAGAUAUCAACUGGAAUGCCGAUGGGGAAGCCGUCCGGCUGGGCCUGUCCUGACACUGAGGCACGAAAGCGUGGGGAGCAAACAGG
rnacentral:rRNA from 1 species